rnacentral:rRNA from 1 species
AACGAACGCUGGCGGCAGGCCUAACACAUGCAAGUCGAACGCCCCGCAAGGGGAGUGGCAGACGGGUGAGUAACGCGUGGGAACGUGCCCUUCGGUUCGGAAUAACUCAGGGAAACUUGAGCUAAUACCGGAUACGUCCGUAAGGAGAAAGAUUUAUCGCCGAAGGAUCGGCCCGCGUCGGAUUAGCUAGUUGGUGAGGUAACGGCCCACCAAGGCGACGAUCCGUAGCUGGUCUGAGAGGANGAUCAGCCACACUGGGACUGAGACACGGCCCAGACUCCUACGGGAGGCAGCAGUGGGGAAUAUUGGGCAAUGGGCGAAAGCCUGACCCAGCGACGCCGCGUGGGUGAUGAAGGCCUUCGGUC